rnacentral:misc_RNA from 1 species
GAAACGCGAUAGUUAAUGUGAAUUGCAGAAUUCAGUGAAUCAUCGAGUCUUUGAACGCACAUUGCGCCCAUAGGUAUUCCUUUGGGCAUGUCUGUUUGAGCGUCAUUACAACCCUCAGCUAACCGCUGGUUUUGAACCUGAACGGGUGACACCGCGCCGGUUUUAAAGUUGUAAGCUCUGCUGGCCGCUCUGCCCAACCAGAACAUAGUAAGCACUACUUGUCCGGGUGAAGCUGAACGGUACGGCCUGAACAAAACCUACCCACUCUCAAGGUUUGACCUGAGAUCAGACAAGGAUACCCGCUGAACUUAAGC